rnacentral:rRNA from 1 species
UACGAAGGGGGCUAGCGUUGUUCGGAAUUACUGGGCGUAAAGCGCACGUAGGCGGAUUUGUAAGUCAGGGGUGAAAUCCCGGGGCUCAACCUCGGAACUGCCUUUGAUACUGCAAGUCUCGAGUCCGGAAGAGGUGAGUGGAAUUCCUAGUGUAGAGGUGAAAUUCGUAGAUAUUAGGAAGAACACCAGUGGCGAAGGCGGCUCACUGGUCCGGUACUGACGCUGAGGUGCGAAAGCGUGGGGAGCAAACAGGAUUAGAUACCCCCGUAGUCC